CAAAUGCCCUAAACUGUUUAUGGUGUCCUCUCUCUAGGUUAUGGCGACGGUGACCAACGAUGGUAUCUAGAUGCAUGGAAGAUAAUUUGGCCGAGAACAGAACACUGAACCUCGACACCCCAUCUGAACCGUCUGAAAAUGGAGUGUGACAUGAGUCCAUGUAGAGUGAGCGAGAGAUCCAGUCCAAACUUCUCUCAUGCUGCUGGUGUACCGGUAGGAAAAUGGACAAAGACAUAAUGGACUGUAAGGCUCCCUGACUGGCUCCUGACCUAUUUAGAGUGUUUAUAUGCUGUUUAAUAUGACAUGUAGCCUAUUUGAAAUUGUUUGCAUCUUACAUUCACAUUUUCAUGUUUAAUAAAA